GGGGUUGUGGCUCAGUGGUGGAGCACUUGCCUACCAUGCAUGAGGCACUGGGUUUGAUCCCCGGCACCACA
rnacentral:tRNA from 1 species